GUAGUCGGAUUCGCAUCAAUCCACAUGUGUUGGGGUGGAUUGGAGUGGAACUUGAACUAAAUUCCACCCAAAUCUACUCCAACAAUUGAGGUAAAUCCGAUA
rnacentral:pre_miRNA from 1 species